rnacentral:rRNA from 1 species
GUAGUCAUAUGCUUGUCUCAAAGAUUAAGCCAUGCAUGUCUAAGUAUAAGCAAUUAUACCGUGAAACUGCGAAUGGCUCAUUAAAUCAGUUAUCGUUUAUUUGAUAGUACCUUACUACUUGGAUAACCGUGGUAAUUCUAGAGCUAAUACAUGCUGAAAACCCCAACUUCGGGAGGGGUGUAUUUAUUAGAUAAAAAACCAACGCCCUUCGGGGCUUCUUGGUGAUUCAUGAUAACUUCACGGAUCGCAUGGCCUUGCGCCGGCGACGGUUCAUUCAAAUUUCUGCCCUAUCAACUUUCGAUGGUAAGGUAUUGGCUUACCAUGGUUUCAACGGGUAACGGGGAAUUAGGGUUCGAUUCCGGAGAGGGAGCCUGAGAAACGGCUACCACAUCCAAGGAAGGCAGCAGGCGCGCAAAUUACCCAAUCCCGACACGGGGAGGUAGUGACAAUAAAUACUGAUACAGGGCUCUUUUGGGUCUUGUAAUUGGAAUGAGUACAAUUUAAACCUCUUAACGAGGAACAAUUGGAGGGCAAGUCUGGUGCCAGCAGCCGCGGUAAUUCCAGCUCCAAUAGCGUAUAUUAAAGUUGUUGCAGUUAAAAAGCUCGUAGUUGAAACUUGGGUCUGGCUGGCAGGUCCGCCUCACCGCGUGUACUUGUCCGGCCGGGCCUUUCCUUCUGGAGAACCUCAUGCCCUUCACUGGGCGUGCUGGGGAACCAGGACUUUUACUUUGAAAAAAUUAGAGUGUUCAAAGCACGCCUUUGCUCGAAUACGUUAGCAUGGAAUAAUAGAAUAGGACGUGCGGUCCUAUUUUGUUGGUUUCUAGGACCGCCGUAAUGAUUAAUAGGGACAGUCGGGGGCAUCAGUAUUCAAUUGUCAGAGGUGAAAUUCUUGGAUUUAUUGAAGACUAACUACUGCGAAAGCAUUUGCCAAGGAUGUUUUCAUUAAUCAGUGAACGAAAGUUAGGGGAUCGAAGACGAUCAGAUACCGUCGUAGUCUUAACCGUAAACUAUGCCGACUAGGGAUCGGGCGAUGUUCUUUUUCUGACUCGCUCGGCACCUUACGAGAAAUCAAAGUUUUUGGGUUCUGGGGGGAGUAUGGUCGCAAGGCUGAAACUUAAAGGAAUUGACGGAAG